UGCGGGUGAUUGAACCUUUGUGUGCCCCAGAGCUACAUCCUAGCAUACUGCUGGGGAUGGCAUGAGUCCUAGCUACCAUCAGUCACUGUGAUGAAGAAGCUCCUCCCGCCGUCUUGCCUGCUGUGCACUCAUGCAAUCCCUGAAAGCCUGAACCUGUGGCUGGCACCGGCGCCAGUCCUGGUGCUGGGCCAUGCAUUCUUGCACUGCAAAGUGGGAGGCAGCACAACCAGAGCGUGUGAUCAGCUGGUCCAGUGGGUCUUCUUCCUCAUCGUCCUUCUUCACCUGUCGGGUCCAGUUAUGGCCUUGUGGGACUGAGGUUGACAUCUUGAGGAACCUAGAAUACCAACAGACAAGGAAGCGGACCCAACUGGAGCGCACACACGGAAGAACAGAACCCUCUGCAAUUCUCAUUGGCGAACUCUCCUUGUAGAGCCCGCCCUUGGCCCCACUCUUCCGGGGAAGGGCGGAAGAAGCGGACCAAUAGAGACCGGAUUUCGGAAAAGACACCUUUGAUAGUUCUGAGAGACUGUGUGUUCAUGUGGCCCCAGGCCCGAGAGAGGUACAGAGGAGGCGAGUAGCCAUUAUGCCUUUUCACCAGCGAGAGUCCACACAACUGGCCCCCAUAUCUGAAGUGGGUUACCCGCGUGGGUUGCCACGUAAGCUGAAGGGC
rnacentral:lncRNA from 1 species